GCAACCCGACUCCACGAAGCUGGAUUCGCUAGUAAUCGCGCAUCAGCCACGGCGCGGUGAAUACGUUCCCGGGCCUUGUACACACCGCCCGUCAAGCCAUGGGAGCCGGGGGUACCUGAAGUGCGUAACCGCGAGGAGCGCCCUAGGGUAAAACUGGUGAUUGGGGCUAAGUCGUAACAAGGUAGCCGUACCGGAAGGUGCGGCUGGAACACCUCCUUU
rnacentral:rRNA from 1 species